rnacentral:rRNA from 1 species
GACGAACGCUGGCGGCGUGCUUAACACAUGCAAGUCGAACGGAAAGGCCCUGCUUGUGUGGGGUGCUCGAGUGGCGAACGGGUGAGUAACACGUGAGUAACCUGCCCUUGACUUUGGGAUAACUUCAGGAAACUGGGGCUAAUACCGGAUAGGAGCUUCUGCUGCAGGGUGGGGGUUGGAAAGUUUCGGCGGUUGGGGAUGGACUCGCGGCUUAUCAGCUUGUUGGUGGGGUAGUGGCUUACCAAGGCUUUGACGGGUAGCCGGCCUGAGAGGGUGACCGGCGACAUUGGGACUGAGAUACGGCCCAGACUCCUACGGGAGGCAGCAGUGGGGAAUAUUGCACAAUGGGCGGAAGCCUGAUGCAGCAACGCCGCGUGCGGGAUGACGGCCUUCGGGUUGUAAACCGCUUUCGCCUGUGACGAAGCGUGAGUGACGGUAAUGGGUAAAGAAGCACCGGCUAACUACGUG